CAGUUAAAAAGCUCGUAGUUGGAUUUCGGAGUGGGCCAGUUGGUCCGCCGCAAGGUGUGUUACUGACUGGUUUGCUCUUCUUCGCAAAGACUGCGUGUGCUCUUGAGUGAGUGUGCGUAGGAUUUACGACGUUUACUUUGAAAAAAUUAGAGUGUUCAAAGCAGGCUAUUGCUUGAAUACAUGAGCAUGGAAUAAUGGAAUAGGACUUUGGUCCCAUUUUGUUGGUUUCUAGGGCCGAAGUAAUGAUUAAGAGGGACAAUUGGGGGCAUCCGUAUUUCGUUGUCAGAGGUGAAAUUCUUGGAUUUACGAAAGACGAACAACUGCGAAAGCACUUGCCAAGAGUGUUUUCAUUAAUCAAGAACGAAAGUUAGAGGAUCGAAGACGAUCAGAUACCGUCCUAGUUCUAACCAUAAACGAUGUCGACUAGGGAUCAGCGGGCGUUAUCGUACGACCCCGUUGGCACCUUACGGGAAACCAAAGUUUUUGGAUUCCGGGGGGAAGUAUGGUUGCAAA
rnacentral:rRNA from 1 species